rnacentral:lncRNA from 1 species
GAGGCGAGCAGCAGUCGCCGCACGGUGGCUGGCAGUGGUGGUGGGUCGGCUGGAAGGCGACGGCGCUCGAGGCGUGGCUGCAAUCGACGAGGGGCUGCGGCAACAGAGGAAGCUCUGUUUCUGCAACCGCUACAAGGAGGGGCUGCGGCAACCGGCGGCUGCGGCUGCGGUGCCGGCGGUCCUUCUCGCUCGAGCGAGAUGGGGACGCGAGGAGAAGAGGUCGCUGGCCGGGUGAUCGAGCGGCGGCGAUGCGGCUGGGAAAAGUGGUGGUGACGCGGCUGGGAACAAGGGCAAUCCGUGAGUUGCCCUGUUUCGGUCGCCGCGAGGAGGGCGACAAUCGGCGGCUGCGGCUGCGACCCAAGGGGAGGAGGGCGGCGGUGGAGAUGCAGCGGUGGUGGCG